AGUGAACGCUGGCGGUGGGCCUAACACAUGCAAGUCGAACGGCAACACAGUAAGAGCGUGCUCUUACGGGGGGCGAGUCGCGUGCGGGUGAGGAGUACAUCGUAAUCUACUUUUUCGUGUGGGAUAACGUAGGUAAACUUACGCUAAUACCGCAUACGACCUACGGGGGAAAGCAGUGGAUCUUCGGACCUUGCGCGGUUGGAUGAGCCGCUGUCGGGUUAGCUAGUUGGCCGGGUGAAGGCCCAGCAAGUGGACGAUCCGUAGCUGGUCUGAGAGGCUGAUCAGCCACACUGGAACUGAGACACGGUCCAGAGUCCUAAGGGAGGGAGCAGUGUGGAAUAGUGGACAAUGGGCGCAAGUAUGAUCCAGCCAUACGGAGUCGGUGAAGAAGGCGCCCGGGUUGGAAUGCCGUUUUGUUGGUAAAGAACCGCAUUAGGCUAAUACGCAGCUGUUCUGACGGUACUCAAUGAAUAAGCACCGGCUAACUUCGUG
rnacentral:rRNA from 1 species